ACGAACGCUGGCGGCGUGCUUAACACAUGCAAGUCGCACGGAAAGGCCCUGCUUUUGUGGGGUGCUCGAGUGGCGAACGGGUGAGUAACACGUGAGUAACCUGCCCUAGACUUUGGGAUAACUUCAGGAAACUGGGGCUAAUACCGGAUAGGAGCUCCUGCUGCAUGGUGGGGGUUGGAAAGUUUCGGCGGUUGGGGAUGGACUCGCGGCUUAUCAGCUUGUUGGUGGGGUAGUGGCUUACCAAGGCUUUGACGGGUAGCCGGCCUGAGAGGGUGACCGGCCACAUUGGGACUGAGAUACGGCCCAGACUCCUACGGGAGGCAGCAGUGGGGAAUAUUGCACAAUGGGCGGAAGCCUGAUGCAGCAACGCCGCGUGCGGGAUGACGGCCUUCGGGUUGUAAACCGCUUUCGCCUGUGACGAAGCGUGAGUGACGGUAAUGGGUAAAGAAGCACCGGCUAACUACGUG
rnacentral:rRNA from 1 species